AUGCUAAACAUCUGGAUCUAUUUUGUUGAAAUGUGUUCCGUGACGCCAGUUUGUAAGCAUAUAAAACCCUGUCGAGCUCAUCCAGGCUCUUCAGUGGACUCGUACACUAAAACAGACCAUGGACGCUUUGAUUUGUGUUGCUUGCUGCUGUCGGGGCAGGAGCAGUUGUCGGCGGAGGAGCCGGUGUUUUUUAUGUGCAGUGGCGGCUGCUGUGGCUGCGGCUGCGGGUUAGAGAAGGUGUGCUGGGAAGCACAAGGUUGGUGGUUCGAGUCCAGGCUGCCCCAUGUUCCAUGUCGAAGUGUUCCUGAGCAAGACACCUAACCCCUAAUUGCUCCCUGGGCAAAAAUGUGAAAAAGCCAUGGGUUUAAAGUGUAAUGUUAGUCGCUUUGGAUGAAAGCCUCUGCUAAAUGACAUGUAAUACUACACUAUUUUUUA
ensembl:lncRNA